CACACCAACAAGGAAUGGAUAGAGAGAUGGAUUGAGAGACGCCACAAAGAUCUGUGAAAGGAUCUAUGAUAAGUCUAGACCAGCCAUGAACAUAGAUAUGACACACCAUGAUCAUGGAGUUCCAAAAAUUACAAGACAUCACAUCUUGAAAGAGAGAAACUUCUCUAAUUUUCACUGAAAAACAAACUUAUUCUUAUUCAUGAUUUUUGGGCUCUUUUUAUAGAGAAAUACAAGUAAUUUUCGUCCAUAAAAGUAUCUUAACAUGCAGCACAACUUGGGAGUUGAAAUUCAAACUCUAUUCUGCAUGCAAGAGAGAGAAACACACUUAAAUAAAUGCUAUUUUGAAUCUGGACGAAAAUCAGUCUUCCUUUGAUAUUUUUGGGCUGAAUCCACUUUUCUGGGCUUCUCUGAUGUACCAAGAUUGUAGAACAAUUGGGCUUGUGGCUUAAUUCUAUCUGGGCUGGUCGAAAUUGUUCAAUGAAUGCACACAGGUCCAAAUUCGCGUAAACUGAAGAUCACCUGUUUUGUAAAUUGCGUAACUCCUUCAUCUGAAGUCCGUUUGAUCUGAUUCUUCUUCGAGGAGCUCCGUAAUUGAGUUGAGCACAUUCUCCAAGUGAUUUCAUGCGUAGAAGCCUCGUGGUUUCGAAGAUACGAGUCAAACAAUGAACGUACAUCUUUACUGCUUCCCAUGAUCAUAUCAU
rnacentral:lncRNA from 1 species